GUUCAGUUAAGCCUAUUUGACAAAAGAAAGUACUGAUCUAUGGAUAGUAGCUAGAAAAAAAAAGUACAGCAUCAGGCCUCAACAUCUCCAUACCUGUCACUAAUGGGAUCCCCAUUCACAGAGUCACAAUGAAGGCCAGACCCCAACAGCCAUGGACACUGAGUUUAUUUGACUCCAGAUUUAGUACUUAAUGAGGCAAUAUUAACUUCCAUAGUAAUUUUUAUUGCUGAUAAUGCAUAGAGCAACUAUUAAUCUCCAGACAA
rnacentral:lncRNA from 1 species